rnacentral:rRNA from 1 species
UAGGGAAUUUUCGGCAAUGGGCGCAAGCCUGACCGAGCAACGCCGCGUGAGUGAUUAAGGCCUUCGGGUUGUAAAGCUCUGUUGUAAAGGAAGAACGAUCGAGAUAGGAAAUGAUCUUGAUGUGACGGUACUUUACCAGAAAGCCACGGCUAACUACGUGCCAGCAGCCGCGGUAAUACGUAGGUGGCAAGCGUUAUCCGGAAUUAUUGGGCGUAAAGGGUGCGUAGGCGGUUUAUUAAGUCUGUGUUGAAAGUUCGGGGCUCAACCCCGUAUUGGCAUAGAAACUGAUAGACUUGAGUGCAGGAGAGGGCAGUGGAAUUCCAUGUGUAGCGGUAAAAUGCGUAGAUAUAUGGAGGAACACCGGUGGCGAAGGCGGCUGCCUGGCCUGUUACUGACGCUG